rnacentral:ribozyme from 14 species
AUUGGAAACGGACCAUCUUUUGUUCGUAGAUUGAUAUUGUCCUUGUCUCUCAGAAGCCAAUUUUCUUUAUGUUUUUUUUUUUUCCUCAUGCUUUUU